GACGAACGCUGGCGGCGUGCCUAAUACAUGCAAGUCGAGCGAAUCAAUGGGAGCUUGCUCCCUGAGAUUAGCGGCGGACGGGUGAGUAACACGUGGGUAACCUGCCUGUAAGACUGGGAUAACUUCGGGAAACCGGAGCUAAUACCGGAGACGUUCUUUUCUCGCAUGAGAAGAGAUGGAAAGAUGGUUUCGGCUAUCACCUACAGAUGGACCCGCGGCGCAUUAGCUAGUUGGUGAGGUAACGGCUCACCAAGGCGACGAUGCGUAGCCGACCGGAGAGGGUGAUCGGCCACACUGGGACUGAGACACGGCCCAGACUCCUACGGGAGGCAGCAGUAGGGAAUCUUCCGCAAUGGACGAAAGUCUGACGGAGCAACGCCGCGUGAGCGAAGAAGGCCUUCGGGUCGUAAAGCUCUGCUGUUAGGGAAGAACAAGUACAAGAGUAACUGCUUGUACCUUGACGGUACCUAACCAGAGAGCCACGGCUAACUACGUGCCAGCCGCCGCGGUAAGAC
rnacentral:rRNA from 1 species